GUAGGUGGCAAGCGUUGUCCGGAAUUAUUGGGCGUAAAGCGCGCGCAGGCGGUUCUUUAAGUCUGAUGUGAAAGCACGGGCUCAACCGUGGAGGGUCAUUGGAAACUGGAGAACUUGAGUACAGAAGAGGAAAGCGGAAUUCCACGUGUAGCGGUGAAAUGCGUAGAGAUGUGGAGGAACACCAGUGGCGAAGGCGGCUUUCUGUCUGUAACUGACGCUGAGGCGCGAAAGCGUGGGGAGCAAACAGGAUUAGAUACCCUGGUAGUCCACGCCGUAAACGAUGAGUGCUAAGUGUUAGGGGGUUUCCGCCCCUUAGUGCUGCAGCUAACGCAUUAAGCACUCCGCCUGGGGAGUACGGCCGCAAGGCUG
rnacentral:rRNA from 1 species